rnacentral:lncRNA from 1 species
UGAAAGACAAUUUAGAGAGGGGAGAGACUUGAGAUCAGGAGAUCCCCCCCCAAAAAAAAGGAAGGAAGGAAGGAAGGAAGGAAGGAAGGAAGGAAGGAAGGAAGGAAGGAAGGAAGGAAGGAAGGAAGGAAGGAAGGAAGGAAGGAAGGAAGGAAGGAAGGAAAGAAGAAAGAAAGAAAGAAGGAAGGAAGGAAGAAAGAAAGAAAGAAAGAAAGAAAGAAAGGAAGAAGGAAGAAUGAAAGAAGGAAGAAAGAAAGAAAGAAAGAAAGAAAGAAGAAAGAAUGAAACUAAGAA